CAUUGAAAUUAUACUUUACUGAAAUUAAAGCAACUUAUACGAUGUAAAUUGUAUAUGUUAAAGGUGGAUAAGUUCAGUUUUUAAUAGCUCUUAUUUUUCUCAUAUCAACACUAAAAAUAGCAAAUUCAGUGGGGAUUUUCAUUUAUUCAUAAUCAUCAGUGCAUGAUACAUAUUAUACUUUUAAUUGUUCGCUGACCGUACACAUAACCCAUCUACGUGGCGGAUAUAGUUUGUCAUUAUUCCUGACCUGAUCAAUUGGUAGAUCGAAAUGAUUGGUGUAUAGACAUUGUUCGACAUACUUCUGCAAGCAAACAUGGAUACUUUCUACCUUACAUCUUUCGUUUGAAUAAAACCUUGGUUCCAGAAGAUCUAAAAGAAUAUGAAACAUAUGAACUGUCAUCAGAUUUUCCAUGCAAAAUUCUAGAAAUAUUUGACUAUUUGAGGAGGGGUCCUUCAAAAGAAUAUGCCUGCAAAUAUACGUUAUAUGGGGUAUAUUUACCACGCUUACGUAGCAGUGGGUGCAUGGCAAUCUAAAGUUUUUUUCAAUUCAUUUUCGGAAAGGUUUACUUGCGACAAAAUCAACUUCUGCUAUGAGUUUAGAGAUAUGGAAAUUGGAUCACCAAGUGUAGAUGAAAUAGAAAGAAACAUGCGUAUAUCAGAUUCUUUAAUUGUGGUGUAUGACAAUGCCUUCGGUGAUAGCAAGGCAAUAUUUACAAUUGAAAUAGGAAAACAAAUCCAACUUGGAAAUCAUAAAUUCAAGCUCAUUGUUUUAGAAUUUAUGCCGAUAUCUUCUGAACAUUUAAGCCAUUUUGAAACAUUCAGUCGAAUAACUGUCAGGGAAUCUUAUGAAGACCGGGCAUAUCAACAUAUUUUGAGGAUUUUUACUGACACAGAUUUUACUGAAGAUGAUAUAGAAGUUGAAAACAGGACAAUAAAGGAUCGCAAUGACAAAAUAGUAUGAAUCAUGUGGUUGUAAAAAGGAGGAGGGUCCGGAGAACAACACAUUUCAUCACAGAAUUUUGAAAUCUUCGUUUUCAUAUCUAACAUUGUAACUAAGGCACUGCUAGUUUAUGAAAUUUAUUGUAUGCAGUAAAAGUCAGAUUCUUUCAUUUAUACGCAAAUAUAAAAAUAAGAAGAUGUGGUCAGAUUUCCAUUGACCAUGCAUGUUGACAACUAUCCAGAUAGGAUAUAUUCAAAUAUUGUGGAUAUAAGCAAUGAUAAUGAUAGGUCACUGUAUAGCACUCAUCGCGAGGGUUAGGGUUAGUAUAUCAAUCGCGAGGGUUAGGGUUAGUAUAUCAGUGCAGUGUAUUAUCUAAAGAUAAAUUUGAGUCUAGGAAUGACUAAGGGGGUCCUUUAUUUCAUUCAAUCUGCAUUCUUUAAUGUCUAGGUAACCUUUUCUGUUAUUUUUUUUUUGCCUUAUUGUCACUAUAACAGACAGACAAUAAUCAACACUAUGAUAUUCUCUUUUUAUUUUUUGCGUAGUAGCCAUAAUAAUAUUCUCUAGUAUUCUGUAAACCCCUCUCAGACUCUGAUACAUGUAUCAUAAAUUCUUGCUCCGAAAGUUGUUGAAUUUGUUCUGUUGUACUAGUAAAUGUUUCAUUGUUUAUGGUAAUAAUGUCAUGUUGCCCCUAUAUCAUCAUAAAUAAACUAUAUUUAAAUGGUCUGUACUUUAGGUACACUAAUGAGCAAAUACAUCUUCCAGGUUAGGGGAGGGUUGGGAUCCCGCUAACAUGUUUAACCCCGCCACAUUCUGUAUAUAUGUGCCUGUCCCAAGUCAGGAGCCUGUAAUUCAGUGGUUGUCGUUUGUUUAUUUCUUACAUAUUUGUUUUUUGUUAAUUUUUUUGUACAUAAAUUAGGCCGUUAGUUUUCUCGUUUGAAUUGUUUUACAUUGUCAUUUCGGGGCCUUUUAUAGCUGACUGUAUGGUAUGGUCUUUGCUCAUCGUUGAAGGCCGUACGGUGACCUAUAUUUGUUAAUUGAUGUGUCAUUUGGUAUCUUGUGGAGAGUUGUCUCAUUGGCAAUCAUAUCACAUCUUCUUUUUUAUAUUCAAUGUUUUAAAAAAAAUAUGAACACAAUCUUAACUGUCCAAUUUGUACAUUUAUCCUUCAAAAUAAUACCAGAAGAGAAGGUUUCACUUGAUUUGUAUGACUGAGUUGGGGGAAAAAUAGCAAGCAGGGGACCAGUAGCCAAGGGUUGUACAGGUUUUUGACUUGGCCCCUAGAUAUUUUUUAAUUGCAAAUAUCCAUAAUCCUUAUGCUUAUCUCUCCUUUUUUCACAAGUUGGACCCUAUAUUGAUAAUGUUAGUCUUCCCCCUCGCUUUAUACCCCUGUUAUGAUAUUCAGUUGGAGAGGUUUUUGCAUAGUCAUAGAUCCGUAUACCAUGCUCAAAUGAGGACCAUUUUGAUAGAAAGGUAUAAGUUUAAAAUCAGCAUUAUAGGAGUAGUAGUGGUUUUUCUCAGAAUUGGUCUAUUUGUGUAAAGAAUUGGAAAUAAUGUCUAACAUAAGAACAUUUUCAUUUCUAUUGCUCAAAGUAAAGAAAAUUAUAUUCAAGUUUCGAAUAAAAUACAUUUGUAGUUUUAAUAAUGUCAUAGACAAAGAAUGUCGCCAGUCAAACUGUUGAUAAACAUUUCAAAUAAAACAUAGCGUAAUUAACUAGAAGGAAUAAUGUAUACUUCCUACCUCCUUAAUAAUGAAUGAUUUCCUACACUUUUAUUGUAAUCACUUAAUCCUUGUAGUACAUGAAUCACAUUGAAUUUUUUGUUCCAUUCACAUUGCUUUAUUCUCAUAGCAAUUUUGAAGUAAAAAAUAACACAUUUGUGAUGAACAUUUAUGAAUCCAUCCUCCCUUUUUACGGUUUAUCCAGUUGACAUCAUAAAAGCUAUGUUUUACGUUUAGUGUACAUAUAUAGGUCACUUUAUCACAGUAUGGAUAUAUUCAUUUGAUCUGAAAUAUAUAAUAAUAAUGACAAUUAACAACUUGUUGGUCAUAAUGCAUGUAACUCACUGUAAACAACCACCAUAAUUAAACACAAAAUUUCACACAUGUUCAUUGUACAUGUAUGAAAUAAAUUGGAAUAUUUCAACUUCAUCUAGCCUCAUUAAUCAAAUCAUUAAUCAAUAUAUAAAUAUACUAUGAUCAUUAUAACUUUUCCAAAGAUUGUGAUAUGAUUGUUCAAAACACACUAUCCAGUAAAUCAUCCUGUCAACAAGGCUUGUGAAAUCAGGACCCCAAAAAAUAAUACAUGUAUAAAGAGACUGUUUGUAAAAUUUAAUAAUGUGCAGCUCUAAAUUAUUAAAAAUCUUGCCUGUUUUGAAGUCUCUACAAAAUUUAACUGUUCAUAUUCAAAUUCAUGCAUAUUUAAUGACAGCAAUGAUCAUGAGCUUAUAUGCUUAUAAGUUAUAUGCAUAAUUAAAGAGAUGCAUUUUUUCAAUUGUAAUUUCUAUAAAUUGAAAAUAUUUUACCAAAUUUAAAUUAUAAUCAUUAAUGGUUGAUGCAAAUAGUUCAUUAGCACCCAUGCCAUUUGACAAUAUCUAGAAAAUGGACAAGAUACCUACUGCUUAACCAUAUAUUGUUUUGUUGACAUUUCAAUAAGAAUGACUACACACAGUGUCUAUAAUUGUUUACAUCCACUUUAUUUGAAUUUUGUUGGAUUAUUGUCUCAAAUGCAAUGAUACCACAUCUCCUGACUGUUAUAUUCAUUGAACGAAAAUGUAAACGUUUAUGACAAUGAAAAUAACAAAAUAUUCGAAUGAGUAUUGGCGAACACAUUUAAAGAUAGUUUCUACCUUUGUUCCCGCUGGAACAACAAUUGAAAUUUUAGUCAACACAUGUUUCAUUGUUUUAAAGAAAAAACGAAAUCUACGUUUCAAAACAAAUGUCUUAUCUGUAUAUUCAUUGCCAUUUCUUUGGAUAUUUUUAACGUUAAAUUUGCAAUAUAAUAAGGAUAACAAAGAUUUCAGCUAUUAUUAUUCUUCAAUUGUUCAAACUGCGCGCAAAUGGUCAAGAUUGAUAACCAUACAUGACAAAAAUAAAAAUAGAAAUGGCGAUAUGAACGUAAACGGACACUGUAUUUCAACAUUAUUUUAUUUUAUACAUUUAAUUAUACAUCGUACAUUUUGGUUGUUAUGUUUACGUUUGUUGUACUCAUUGAGUUGUUGUUGUAAACUAUGUUCACAGUUGUCUUCUUUGUCAAUCGGAGACAUUGCAAUUACUUUUUCUGAACGAAUAAAUACCCUUUUGUGAUUUUUAUUAACUGUA